rnacentral:lncRNA from 10 species
UGACUCUCCAUCUCGUUCCCUGCCACUGAAUGGAGGCUCUCCAGGAUGGCGGGGCCACCGGGGCCCUGGAACCCUAAAUGACUGCAGGGAGCAGAGCUCUGCCUCCCCAUCAACCCACUUCAGAUUCGGCUAUGCCUGAAACGCAGAUGCAAGGGCUGGAGCUCUGCAGACACUGGGACCAGAGGUGACCUUGAGGAUGGAAGCCAUGUGUUGGGAAAAUGGAACAGAAAGAUGAGUGGAACUUGGACUAUGAAUGUCUCUUGCCAUACUUGGACUGUCUGCCUCCAGACAUCCUCUAAAAGAAGAUUUUUAAAAUAACAAUAUACCUUUGUCCCAUUUGAGCCACAACUGUUGAGUUUACUGAUCUAUACUGCCAAACCUAAUUCCACCAAUAUACCUCACGACCCAGCAAUUACGCUCUUCAGAAACUGCCCUAGAGAUGCUCACACAUGCACACAGAGGCACAAAGAUGUUCAGUGUUGCUUGGACUAGCAAAGACAAACAGACAAACGACAAUAUGUAUCUUCUCUAUGGCCACAUAUAUAUGAAUGUAAAUAAGUAGGAAAAGGCCUGGAAGGAAGCACAGCAAAUUGAUGAUGGUGGGUACGGCUGGGGAUGGCGGGGAGUCACAGGAAACCAUAUUCUUCCCCUCAGGAAGAUAUGUUCUUAUUACCUGUGAAGUUAAAACUUACACGUCAAGUUAAAAAGAUAAUAAAAUCCAAAGGGAGAAUAAAAGUAAACUUGAUACUGCAGAAACGUCACAGGCAUGACCUCAUCCAGGCUAUCAAGGUCGACAUCAACAGUGAUACAGUAUGUUGACGGAAUGUACCCAAGAUGCUCUGAAACUGGAACUUUCUCUCUGCGGUCCUCCUCCCAAAACCCAUCACCCCAGUCUAAUCAUGAGAAAAGCACCAGACCAAUCCCAGUAGAGGGUCAUCCUACAAAAUACCUGACCAGUGCUUCUCAAAAGUGUCACUGUCAUCAAAAUGAAGGAGAGAUGAGAGACUGUCACAGCCAAAAGGUGCCUAAGGAGACCGGAAGACCAAUGCGACACCUGGGAAACUGUGACCUGCCACGACGAAGGGGACCGUGCAGACAUGACUGCAUCAAGGCUCUCAGAUGGGGAGAGCGUCCUGGAAUAUCUAGGUGGGUCCAUGCAGAUAUGGUUACAUCAAGGUUCUGAGAUGGGAAGAGUAUCCUGGAAUACCUAGGUAGGCCCCAGAGAAUCACAAAAGUCCUUAAAGAGAGAAGCGGGAAGUCCUAGCCAGAGCAAUCAGGCAAGAGAAAGAAAAACGAAAAAACAAAAACAAAUUUUAAAACCCUAAAAAAAGAAAAAUUAAUUUUUAAAAAGAGGGGCUGGGGCGUGGUGGCUCACGCCUGUAAUCCCAGCACUUUGGGAGGCCGAGGCAGGUGGAUCACAAGGUCAGGAGAUUGAGACCAUCCUGGGCAACAUGGUGAAACCCCAUCUCUACUAAAAAUAUAAAAAUUGGCCGGACGUGGUGGCACAUGCCUGUAAUCCCAGCUACUCGGGAGGCUGAGGCAGGAGAAUCACUUGAACCAGGGAGUCAGAGGUUGCAGUGAGCGGAGAUCAUGCCAUUGCACUCCAGCCUGGCGACAGAGUGAGACUCCGUCUCAAAAAAAAAAAAAAGAGGGAAGCAGGAGGUUAGAGGCAGAGAGAAAUUGGACAGUGCUACACUGCUGGCUUUAAAGAGGGAGAGGCCAAGUGCAGUGGUUCACGCCUGUAAUCCCAGCACUUUGGGAGGCUGAGGUGGGAGGAUCACUUGCACCCUGGAGUUCAAGACCAGCCUGGGCAACAUAGUGAGACCCCUGUCUCUACAAAAAAAACACAAAAAUUAGCAGGGUAUGGUGGCACAUGCCUGUAGUCCCAGCUACUCAGGAGGCUCAGGUGGGAGGAUCGCCUAAGCCCAGGAGGCCAAGGCUGCAGUGAACUAUAGAUCAUGCCACUGUACUCCAGUCUAGAUAGCAGAGCGAGACUGUGUCUCAACAACAACAACAACAACAACAAAACAGGGAGGGCUAGGAUUAAGGUCAUGAGCUAAGGAAAGUAGGCAGCUUCUAGAAGCUGUAAACGGCAAGGCACAGGUUCUCCCCUGGAGCCUCUGGAAGGAACAAGGCCUGCAGAUACCUUGAUCUUAGCCUUGUUGUGUUCCUUUCAGACUUCAGACUCCCAACACUGCAAGAUAGUUUUUAAAAGUGAGCCAUGACAUUUGUGGCAAAAUUGUGACAGCAGCAAAAGGAAAUGAAUACAGCAACUCACACUCAGUAUGGAGCAGCAGGGUGGGCUGGCUCACCACUUGCCCCACACAGACCCCCCCACAACAGGUGUCUAGCAGAAAAGGCAGUGUGGCGAGGUGGUUAAUAGUGCACACUCAAGCGUCGCUGCCUGGAUUUGAAUCCCACCUGGGCCGCUGUGCAGGCACGUGCUCACGUGGCAGGCCCGAGCCCUUCCACCCCACACAGGCUGCUGGCAAUGCUGGCCCGGAGCUGGCGUCUGGGAGCCUGGAUUCGGGAGGCCUCCCAUUGCUCCCUAACUGACAAGGAUGGCUCACUGUGCCUGAGCAAUCUGUACAAGUAAUGUGGUUUAUACUGACCACCAGCUUGCCUUCUAAGGGUCUGGAAUUUCAGUACCUGCCAGGCAGAGGGUGGCCACAUGACCAGCCCCUAGUAAAAACCCUGGGCACUCAGUCUCUCUAGCGGGCUUCCCUGCCAGAUGACAUGUCACGUGGGUUGUCACAACUCCUUGCAGCAAGAAUUGGGUGACUCCCCUGGGAGAGGGCUCUGGAAACUGGCACCUGCUUUCCUCUGGACUUGGCCCCGUGUGGCUUUUCCCUUUGCUGAUUUGCUUUGAAUCCUUUUACCGUAAUAAAUCAUAGCCACGUGUACAACCAUAUGCUUCGUCCUGAGGCUUCCCAGCAAAUCGUCGAGCCUGCGGUGGCCUUGGGACCCCUGACACAGCCACUUACGAGCUCUGUGACCUUGGGCGUGCUACUGAGCCUGUGUCCCUUCUGUAUAAGCGAGAUAUUAUAACGUAACUCUUCCUAGGACUCUAGGGAGGAUUCAAUGCAGUAAUACAUGUAAAGUGCUUCGAAAAUUACCCGGCAUAUAAAAGUGCUUGGCACAUUUAUUAUUGUUGUUGUUAUAAUUGUUAAAUCCCAGCAAAGAAAUGGACACACAAAUAUUCUGUCACUUUGCCAUGCACAGCAGUAGGGAGGGGAGAUGGAAGUCACUGAGGGGCGGUGACGAAAGUCAGCACAAAAGGCUCAAAUACCACAAUCAGAGACCGGGCGCAGUGGCUCACGCCUGUAAUCCCAGCACUUUGGGAGGCUGAGGCAGGUGAUCACCUGAGGUCAGGAGUUUGAGACCAGCCUGGCCAACACAGUGAAACCCCGUCUCUACUAAAAAUACAAAAAUUUGCUGG